CCUCUCCCAGGGCCUGGCUCAGGUGGAACAGCCACUGUGAUGUGCAUCCUCACAGGGGCCAGAGUGUAAAAGGAAGCACAUGCAAAAGAAAAAAGCAACACCGAAAAACGGAAAGCAACGGAAAACAAACAAAUGUGACUGUAUAUCAAGAUUUCUUCCACGGGACACAGAGCACAAGCCAUAAAGGGAAAACUUGAAAGACCCGCUUCAUCAAAGCACCGGCUCUUCAAAAGGGGAAGAAAAAAUGCUUAGCCACAGGCAGGAAGACAAUAUUUGCAGUACAGGUAUCCAGACUGUAAAAGAACUCCAACUACUUUAUUCUACUUUA